rnacentral:rRNA from 1 species
UAAGACAGAGGUGCCAAGCGUUAGGCGGAAUCACUGGGCUUAAAGCGUGUGUAGGCGGAUUUCUAAGUACCUUGUGAAAUCCCACGGCUCAACCGUGGAACUGCUUGGUAUACUGGUUAUCUUGAGCCACUUAGGGGCGACCGGAACAAAUGGUGGAGCGGUGAAAUGCGUAGAUAUCAUUUGGAACGCCAAUGGUGAAAACAGGUCGCUGGGAGUGUGCUGACGCUGAGACACGAAAGCCAGGGGAGCGAACGGGAUUAGAUACCCCGGUAGUCCUGGCCGUAAACGAUGUCAACUAGAUCGUGGUGCCUCUGACGGUAUCACGGUCGAAGCAAAAGUGCUAAGUUGACCGCCUGGGAAGUACGGUCGCAAGGCUA